CUCCGAGUCUUCGGGCGCUAGGGUCGUGCGUUCACCGUCCACAUCCUACAACAAAUAAUUUACAUUGUAGGUUCUUUAAACAGCACGGCAGCAAGUACUUUGAACAGACCCUCGCACAUGUGUGGCGGGACCUGUAGUACAGUGAGUGCAAGCUGCAGCGCCUCCAGCUUCCCCUGUUCGCCGACUCGACCGCGGCGGGCCUCUUCAUCUUCUGGCCUCAAGUACUUGAACUGGACGUCGUCUCGGAGACGCAAUGUGUUGCGGAGUUCUGCGUUGUGCUGGACAAAUUUUAUACAGUGAACGAUUUUUUAUGUUUGCCUGCUCGAGUUUUACUAUAUCAAUAUCAAAAUAAUGUAUAAGGUAAUAACUGCAGUUCCCAUAAGUUCAAUUUAUGCAUAUGCUUCCUUGAAAAAUGUUUCACUAUCUAUCAACUAACCUUGGCACCUUCGACGAGUUGAUAGAACACAUGGUAGUUGGUCUCUCUGGGAGCCGGUCCCGUGAUCCUAGCUCGUUCCAGCAGAAAGUCUCUGAGGACUGCGCCCCUGAUGCCGCCCCGAUGAUCAAGCCUUACCUCAACAAACUUCCCAAACCGGGACGAAUUGUCGUUCCGCACGGUCUUAGCAUUACCUACUCACCAAAAGCCUCUAAUACAGUGUUAGCUUCGAGAAUCUGUUGUUCAGCCCAUGAUGCCUGCCCCCCCGCCGCGCACAGGUACUGCAAGAUCAGCUUUGUGGUCUCCGUCUUACCAGCACCGC